rnacentral:lncRNA from 1 species
AACGCUCACGAAGGGGAUUAGUGCCCUUAUAAAGGAGGACUGAGGCCUCUCACUUGGUGCUUCUACCAUGGGAGGAUACGAGGAGGAAUCUGCGACUCAGACGAAGCCUUCACCUGAGCAUCCUGACACCCUGAUCUCAGAACUAUGAGAAUUGUAGGUCCUUCCAGUUCUUCCACAUGGAAUGCUGCCUCAGCAUGGCUCGAUGAGCAGUGCCAGGUCGACGCCCAGGAUCCAAACUGGAAUAAAGCCCUUUAUCCAGAAGCUGGCAGGAAAAGAAGCCCUGUGUUCUUGGAGAUGACACUGUGGAGUUUCCAUCUUGCUGAGCUGGGAGGUAGAAGAAUGGAGUUGGGUCCCUGCCCACAUAACCAUCCACUGACUUGGAAUGCUCAAUUUGGACUGUUUCAAGGGAAACUGACAUCCAGAGGAUAUCAAGAAGCUGAAGCUUCCCAAACCCCAAUUCCUGGGCUUCCUGGCACCAGAAUCCACCAUCCACCUUGGAGUCUGACAACCAAGGAUACCUGCCUGCUGACUCCCUUAUCUUGCCAUCUUCUCUCUGUAAGCAUCCUCACAAGGCCAAAUGCAGACUGAUGGAAAGGCAGAAACCUCUAAAGCCACAUAUUCCCUCUCCCCUAUGUAAAACCUCAAAUAAAAACCCCUAUCUUUCUUCCUUCAAGGAGAUGAAUUUUUUUAGCUCCCAUCUCCUCAUCUGGCUGCCUUUUGAUAAUGAUAAUCAAAACUCUUUCCUUGCCAUAAACAUGGCAUUACACUUUUAUUUGGCCUCUCUUGUGUGGUAAGGGUAAAAAGAACCUGUGUUUGUGGCCAGAAACAUAAGAACUAUUUGCCAAACCGUUGACUUGAAUAUUUUUCCCUAUUUUUCCCCCAAAUUGGUGUUCUUUUACAUUUUACAUUUUAGUCUGUGAUUUAUUUUGCUAAUUUUCACAUUAGGUAUAAGAUUUUAGUUUGUGUUUUUCCCU